CAAGUAAACAUUUACUGUGUAAAUAAUGAAUGAGCACAUUAGUUAAGUAAUUAAUUAAUGGUGUAGAACUUCCUACCUGGCUACAGCAACUUGCUCCAUUCAUCAAUGUGCAACAAAAGAAGGGGGGGGUGACGAUCCAAAAGAGUAAGUGGUGGGCAAAGGAAGAAAUCAAUCACUGGGGUGCCUGGCAGCCAUCAAAAUCAUGACUCUCGCUCCCAAGGGUUUAACAGAGAUCACUUUCAAAUAAGAUAACAAUUCCUGGUGCCUUUUGAUAAAAGAAGUUAAGAGAUUCAGAAUGCUGAGUUGUGAAAACGGCAGGCUAACGAAAGAGCCGCAGGACCUGAGUAGUGCCUUAUUGUACGACACCUCCGCCCCUGGAGUCCCACGAUAUACGUAUCAUUGUUUUUCUUUGAGACAAGAAGCAACUGAAAAAUUAAUUUCAGUCCACUGAAGGUUUUGAAGGCUGCUCUGCUUUUAGCACACCACGCACAAGAAGUAAACAUUAUAACCUGAGGCAGAAGGGAGAUUUUUAAAAUUACACGAGAAACAGAAUCCGGAAGAAAGCCGGUUUCCACUACACGGAGAAAUCUGCACUUGAAAACCACGGCAAGGGAUCAAAGCCGCUUCUUCUCCAGCCACCUGCCCAGAAAUUGCAGGCGCGCUAGCCCCAAACCGACGGGCACGCGGGCACGUGUCUCUCCCUGACCCAGCAGGUGCUCCGAGGGACCCGGGCUGGGGUGACCGGCUCCUGGCGCGUUGCUGGGCGCUGGGGCAGCGAAACGAGUGUCCUCCGCCAGCUCCACCAAGGCCAGCCCUAGAGCCUCGCCGCCCAGCCACGAAGGAUGCUUGGGGUCACUUGAGCCACCGCGCCCUCCGCACAGUGCCAGUCUAUUGAAUUAACCACAUUUCCCGGGCUCCAUGCCAACACGUGGCCAGCACCUACUGUAUUAGACAGCAUAUGAAACCUUUUCUUCAUCAUGGAAAGUGCUAUUGGACAGCCGUGCUUAGAGGUGAGGAUUUGGGUGAGAAGGUGAGCCUAGAUAUUCCAGUUUUU